UCGGAUCCGUUGAAUCAAGAGCCCCGACUCAGGAUGCCGUGCUACGCCAUCAAUCAGUCACAGCCAGCCAUGGCGCCGCCGCCGCAGCACGACCCCCGCCGGCUCUACAAGCGCGCCGCCAUCUCUGACCAGCAGCGCCACCGCGACUCCGCCCUCCGAACCCAGUCCGCCCGGCGCGCGCCCGCAGCCUCGCCAACUCCCUACUGUCUCCCCCAUCCGCCGACCAAUCGACACCCUCCCCCGAGGCAGAGGCCCACGGCGACUAGCCCGCCGUCGCCGACGUAGCCACGGCCAGAAAAUGCUGUCCAAGUGGAUGGUCGACGCCCCUCCCCACCUCGCCCACGACUGGCAUGUUUCUGCCAGGGCUGACGGCAAUUGAUGCCUGGCCGUGUCACCGAACGGCAUCGAUCAGCAGGCUCCGUAAUGGGACCAUUCUUUAUUGGUUCCCUUCGGAGCUUCCCAACUGAUCAAAGAGGGUGAUCUCUGGCCCAGCAAGAUCCUACUGUAAGCGCGACUGAAUAUUCCACGACCUGACGAGGCGUACUACAUCGUUGAUAUGAUUUGUUGGUGAGGCUAUUUGUUGUAUGAUUGCACCGCCGAGUUUAGGAUUUUCUGGGUGAACUAGAAGCUCACCGAGAUUUCUGCUGGUGAUCCUCCGUCGGCGUACCAUCGGUAUAGAUUUAGUGCCUUCCCUAUGUACGAGUCUACACUCGAGGGUCUUGAAGCAGCGUUCUCAGGAAUCACACCUUAUGUCAAGGAUGGUUUGCUGUUUUACAACAAGCAUGCGCACUAUCAAUCUGGAAUCACGCCCCUGACAUUGGUAUGGAAAGAUGUGGCUUGCAGCCAGUAUGUUCUUGAUACAGAUAGUGAGGGACACGUCCCAAUCGAGCAGCAUGUUGUUCUUGAGCUGCAAGAGAAUGGAAAACUAAUUGCUUCUGAUGACCCUCCAAUUGUAUUCAGUACAGCGAAUUUAUACGGAAGGGAACCUUCUCCACUUCAGUUUAAGAGAUAAAAGCAUGAAACUUGUAGAUGGGAAGAUAGAGACUGGUGAGCUGCAGUUUGCCGGGAAGCUGAACCGCACGUGUACUUUUGCUGAUAGCCAUUCCAAAGUUCUGUUCCAGUAUGCUGCCAGGCAUGCUCCCCUCAGAAUCAAGGACCUUGUAGCCUCUGUUCAAUCAAACAGCAUGGAGGUUGAAUCCACAGAUGCUGAACUGCAAGAUUAAGUCAUGCAAGUUUGAUUUUGGCGUUUGACUGGACAACAUGCUAGGAUGAAACUGUUGCAAGGGAGUCCAAGGGGUAUGCCAGCCAUGGCAUUCAGAUGGAGAGCUGUGCAAACGAUGUGAUGGUCCAAAAGAUGUGGUCUCAAAGACAAGCGUGUUUCCAAACCUUAUAGAGCAGCUCGAGACCUUUUUUUCGAGGACACCACAGGAGCUCCACAUAUCAAUAUAUUAAGAUAAAGAGAAUGUAAUUUACAAGAUUUUUGCCAGCGCCAUGAAGGCCUAUGUCCCACUGAUGACUCCACAGACGGAGCAUCAGGGCUCAGUCCACUCUACGUACCCUAUUACAAUUAUGGUACAGUAUAUAUAAUAACUGUUGCAAUUCCACGAAGAUCCGCUGUUUUCCACUCCUUUAGGUUGUUCUUCAAUGUCUCCGCCACCUCCUCUGUGGUAGAUGUAGAGCUCUUGUCCUUGAAGAUGUGCUUGUUCGUCUUGCGCCAAAUUGCUCGGAAGAUGCAUAGGGCUGUGCGCCUGUGCCGUUGAAGUCUGCUCACAUUCUUGAAGGAAUUAGCGGCUGAAUGCGUUGCCACCAGGGGCGGAUCGAGUCCGUGGCUGUUGGAAACGUGCUGCUGCUGUCUCUGGUCUCUACUGUGGUUGAGGUGGUGAACAUCCCUUGUGCCUCUAGCGACACAACCUCAAAUCUGUGAAACCAAAAUGUAUGAUGAGUGUGAAAGACGAGCUUUGGCAUGUAAUUCUUGUAUAAAAUGGAUAUGCGAUGCAACUCGUCUUUGUGAAGUGAUGUUUGUUUUUU